GACGAACGCUGGCGGCGUGCUUAACACAUGCAAGUCGAACGGAAAGGCCCUGCUUUUGUGGGGUGCUCGAGGGGCGAACGGGUGAGUAACACGUAAGUAACCUACCCUUGACUGUGGGAUAACUUCAUGAAACUGGGGCUAAUACCACCUAAGAGCUCCUGCUGCAUGGUGGGGGUGGGAAAGUUUAGCCUGUUGGGGGUGUACUAGCGGCUUAUGGGCUUGUUGGUUGGGUAGUGGCAUACCAAGGCUUUGACGGGUGGCCGGGCUGGGCGGGUGACCGGCCACAUUGGGACUGGGAUACGGCACAGACUCCUAUGGGAGGCAGCAGUGGGGAAUAUUACACAAUGGGCGGAAGCCUGAUGCAGCCACGCCGCGUGCGGGAUGUCGUCCUUCGGGUUGUAUACCGAUUCCGCCUGUGACGAAGCGUGAGUGACGGUAAUGGGUAAAGAAGCACCGGCUAACUACGUG
rnacentral:rRNA from 1 species